rnacentral:rRNA from 1 species
AUUGAACGCUGGCGGCAGGCCUAACACAUGCAAGUCGAGCGGAUGAAGGGAGCUUGCUCCUGGAUUCAGCGGCGGACGGGUGAGUAAUGCCUAGGAAUCUGCCUGGUAGUGGGGGAUAACGUCCGGAAACGGGCGCUAAUACCGCAUACGUCCUGAGGGAGAAAGUGGGGGAUCUUCGGACCUCCCGCUAUAAGAUGAGCCUAGGUCGGAUUAGCUAGUUGGUGGGGUAAAGGCCUACCAAGGCGACGAUCCGUAACUGGUCUGAGAGGAUGAUCAGUCACACUGGAACUGAGACACGGUCCAGACUCCUACGGGAGGCAGCAGUGGGGAAUAUUGGACAAUGGGCGAAAGCCUGAUCCAGCCAUGCCGCGUGUGUGAAGAAGGUCUUCGGAUUGUAAAGCACUUUAAGUUGGGAGGAAGGGCAGUAAGUUAAUACCUUGCUGUUUUGACGUUACCAACAGAAUAAGCACCGGCUAACUUCGUG